rnacentral:rRNA from 1 species
GACGAACGCUGGCGGCGUGCUUAACACAUGCAAGUCGAACGGAAAGGCCCUGCUUUUGUGGGGAGCUCGAGUGGCGAACGGGUGAGUAACACGUGAGUAACCUGCCCUCGACUUUGGGAUAACUUAAGGAAACUGGGGCUAAUACCGGAUAGGAGCUCCUGCUGCAUGGUGGGGGUUGGAAAGUUUCGGCGGUUGGGGAUGGACUCGCGGCUUAUCAGCUUGUUGGUGGGGUAGUGGCUUACCAAGGCUUUGACGGGUAGCCGGCCUGAGAGGGUGACCGGCCACAUUGGGACUGGGAUACGGCCCAGACUCCUACGGGAGGCAGCAGUGGGGAAUAUGGCACAAUGGGCGGAAGCCUGAUGCAGCAACGCCGCGUGCUGGAUGACGGCCUUCGGUUUGUAAACCGCUUUCGCCUGUGACGAAGCGUGAGUGACGGUAAUGGGUAAAGAAGCACCGGCUAACUACGUG